GCUCAGAUUGAACGCUGGCGGCAGGCUAACACAUGCAAGUCAGCGGAUACGGGAGCUUCCUUAUUCAGCGACAUUCAGCGGCGGACGGGUGAGUAAUGCCUAGGAAUCUGCCUGGUAGUGGGGGACAACGUUUCGAAAGGAACGCUAAUACCGCAUACUCUACGGGAGAAAGCAGGGGACCUUCGGGUCCUGUCGCUAUCAGAUGAGCCUAGGUCGGAUUAGCUAGUUGGUGGGGUAAUGGCUCACCAAGGCGACGAUCCGUAACUGGUCUGAGAGGAUGAUCAGUCACACUGGACUGAGCACAUGUCCAGCAUCCUACGGGAGCAGCAGUGGGGAAUAUUGGACAAUCUCGCUGCAUGCUCGAGCGGCCGCCAGUGUGAUGGAUAUCUGCAGAAUUCGCCCUUGCUCAGAUUGAACGCUGGCGGCAGGCCUUAACACAUGCAAGUCGAGCGGAUGACGGGAGCUUGCCUCUGAUUCAGCGGCGGACGGGUGAGUAAUGCCUAGGAAUCUGCCUGGUAGCGGGGGACAACACGUUUCGAAAGGAACGCUAAUAGCCGCAUAGCUCUACGGAGAAAGCGGGGACUUGGAUGUGAAAGCCCCGGCGUCAACCAUGGGAACUGCAUCCAAAACUGGCAGCUAGAGUACGUAGAGGGUGGUGGAUUUCCUGUGUGACUGUGAAAUGCUUAGAUUGAGGAAGGAACACCAGUGGCGAAGGCGACCACCUGGACUGAUACUGACACUCAGGUGCGAAAGCUGUGGGGAGCAAACAGAUUAGAUACCCUGGUAGUCCACGCCGUAAACGAUGUCAACUAGCGUUGGAAUCCUUGAGAUUUUAGUGGCAGCCAUGAACGCAUUAAGUUGACCGCCUGGGGAGUACAACCGCAAGGUUAAAACUCAAAUGAAUUGACGGGGCGCACAAGCGGUGGAGCAUGUGGUUUAAUUCGAAGCAACGCGAAGAACUUACCAGGCCUUGACAUGCAGAGAACUUUCCAGAGAUGGAUUGGUGCUUCGGGAACUCUGACACAGGUGCUGCUUGGCUGUCGUCUGCUCGUGUUGUGAAAUG
rnacentral:rRNA from 1 species